rnacentral:rRNA from 1 species
AUUGAACGCUGGCGGCAUGCCUUACACAUGCAAGUCGAACGGCAGCACGGGAGCAAUCCUGGUGGCGAGUGGCGAACGGGUGAGUAAUAUAUCGGAACGUACCCAGUCGUGGGGGAUAACGCAGCGAAAGCUGUGCUAAUACCGCAUACGAUCUACGGAUGAAAGCGGGGGAUCGCAAGACCUCGCGCGAUUGGAGCGGCCGAUAUCAGAUUAGCUAGUUGGUGGGGUAAAGGCCCACCAAGGCGACGAUCUGUAGCUGGUCUGAGAGGACGACCAGCCACACUGGAACUGAGACACGGUCCAGACUCCUGCGGGAGGCAGCAGUGGGGAAUUUUGGACAAUGGGCGCAAGCCAGAUCCAGCAAUGCCGCGUGCAGGAUGAAGGCCUUCGGGUUGUAAACUGCUGUUGUACGGAACGAAACGGCCCUUUCUAAUACAGGGGGCUAAUGACGGUACCGUAAGAAUAAGCACCGGCUAACUACGUGCCAGCCGCCGCGGUAA